UGCAACAUCUACAACUUUCAGCCAUGCUUAUUGCUAUGCAGACUAUAUAAAUUAAGUUGCAUAUUUGAACUCCAAUAAGGUAUCUUGACUCUACGCUCACUGGAUAAAAUUUGCCUUUUUGCUACAGAAGACAUCACGGAAUUGUGGACUAUAUGCAAGUCAAGGUUACAGCAUUAUGCAUGCCACAAGAGAUGCUGGAAUGCGGUGAAGCACAAAAGAGAAAACUACCUUGAUGCCUUGUGAUAUAUACUCCGUGGAUACUCUGUCAGGCAAUUAUCACAAAGAAGAGAGGGGUUGCAGUAACUAGAAGUGAAGCAACCAAUGGCUCCCCUAUUGUAGGAACAGUCAGGUUGUAUGACUCGUCCACCUCGAAACCGAGCUGCAGAGGAUGAACAGCAACAGAGUCAGACAUUUGCAAUUUGUGACGAAACUCACAGUUCAUCGGAUAAAAUGAGAGCA